UUCCAAGAACUCCUCUGCUUCAAGAAUUCGAACAAGGCUAAAACUCCCCAAGCUCUUUAAAUAUUUCAUUUUCUCCUUCUUCAAAACCCCUCAACUCCCUCAAAUCUACGAGGAAGGCCGGCUAGGGUUCGAAAACCGGACAUUGGUAAUUCGGGUUUGCACACAGUUCAUCCCCCUCUUGAGUUCCAGAUUAGCUAUGUCGACGCUUUGGACCGGCUGGAGCGCGAAUUCUGACGGUUACAAGAGUUGAAGACUGCUGGUAGCUCAACGUACACAGCCAUUUGGAUGGAAUCUCGUCUACAAGCAUGGCACGACACUCGGGCUUCGGCUGGACUUGAGAUUCAAACGCAACAAAGUCGGGUGGAUCAAAUGGAGGCCUUGGCUAUCUUGGGGAUGGCGAAGGGUGACUUGGAGCAUUCACGAGUUGUGAUAUCCGGAAAAUUGGAGCUCUCGAAAAAGAAGUUAGCCAAGAUCCAACAAGAGGCUGCGAAAACAUUAUCCCUCACCGAGGAAUCCUUCAAGGUUGCAUUGCAGUGUGAGCUUGAGCGAACUUAUACAGAGGAAUUGACUAAACUUGAACAGCAAGCCUGUAGUCACAAACUUCAUGUAGAUUGAUUGUAACUCUUGUACCUGCAAACUCAAUUUUAUUAAUAGAAAAUAUGUCUUUUUUUCAUUCA